rnacentral:lncRNA from 1 species
CUCUGUUCCUUUGAAAUGGGAAGAGAUGUCAAGCCCCAGUUGAGCUUAGAAAAUCAUUAUGAAGAUUAAAGACAAUGAUGCACAGAAGUAGAUACUAAACAAUUGGACUCUGCUCACACAACAUGAUCAAGGCAAUGGAAGAAAUUCCUAGGCAAGAAUUUUUCCAGUGGAAUGGUGAAUGUGGCAAUCAGUGGCAGUAGACUACAAGUAUAACCCCAAUAUGGUUACAUAACUGUCUUGGGGAACAAUGGCAAGUCAAAGUUUUUUACAAUGGUCAAUUUGAAUACGUUUUUUAAGCCCCCUGAAGGA